rnacentral:lncRNA from 1 species
GUCAAAAUUAGUAAACUUUAUUUAAACUUCAAAAAAAUAAAAUAACAGACAAAAGGCAGCUUUAGCUUUGUUCUUCCCGAGGAUCAGCUGUAACCACUCACAGCAGGAACUACCCCUAAGUUAAAAUACCCUUUACCCGCCCCGCAUCAAGCCACAGGCAAGGAAGGAUCUUCAAUUUGGGGACAGGCAGGGGGUGGGUGGGGUAGGAGUGAGAACACCACUGGGCCAGUGAGUUCUAACAGCAUGAGUGGAGAACAAGAGUCUGCAUCAGAAACGGGAUCCAGAAGUUCACCGGGAGCUCUGCCACAAGGCAUUUAUGUACAACGGAGCUGGGCUGGGGGUGAUGCCCCGUGAGGGAGGCAAGAACUGCACAGCAGCACGGGCAAGCUGCCCUGGGCCCUAGCCCGCUGCCGCAACCCCACGUGCCCUCAGUUCUCCUCGUCACUGUCAUCCGGGCUGAUAGCCGGGCUUGUGAGACUGUAGGUGGGGCUGGUGGGUGAGUAACCAGGGGAAGUGGGAGAGUAGGUUGAGCCUUUGGGGGAGGUGGGUGAGUAGGUGGGGCUGGUGGGCGAGUACUUGGGGGAAGUGGGCGAGUAAGUAGGGCUAGUAGGUGAGUACUUGGGAGAGGUUGGGGUGUAGACUGGAGAGGUUGGGGAAUAAGUAGGAGAUGUUGGGGAGUAUUUUGGCGUGGUGGGUGAAUAGGUGGGACUGGUAGGCGAGUACUUGGGAGAGGUGGGUGAAUAUUUGGGACUGGUAGGUGAGUACUUGGGAGAGGUUGGGGUAUACUCUGGGGAGCUGGGACUGUAAGAAGGACUGGUUGGGGUGUACUUGGGUGAGGUUGGGCUGUAGCUGGGCGAGCUGGGGCUGUAGCUGGGUGAGCUUGGGGUAUAGGUUGGAGACUGUGGUGUGUAUCGUGGGCUGGAAGGGGAGUAACUUGGUGAGGUCGGGGAAUAGCUGGGUGAUGUGGGCGAGUAGCUGGGAGAGGUGGGCGAGUAGCUGGGAGAGGUGGGCGAGUAGCUGGGAGAGGUCGGUGAGUAGCUGGGAGAGGUCGGUGAGUAGCUGGGUGACGUUGGUGAAUAGCUGGGUGAUGUGGGACUAUAGUUGGGACUGGUUGGAGAAUAGGAUGGAGAGGUAGGGGAGUAGGAGGGUGAAGUGGGGGAAUAAGAGGGACUCUGGGGUGUGUAGCCCCCAGGAGAGCGGGGCUCGUAGGCAGGUGACGUUGGCGAGUAGCUGGGAGACAUGGCACCACCUGUGGGGAAGCAGCCAACAAAGGAGAUGAGCAAUGGACAGACUCACCCAGAACUGUGGAGGAAACAAACCUGGCCUGACAGAUGGCGACAACUCACCUGGUGAAGGGAUGUAGGGGCUUGAGGGACCUGGGGACCCCGGGGAGCCCGGUGUGGGAGACCAGGCAGGGGAGUAACCUGGGCUGAAGCCGCUGGCAUCUGACGCAGCACUGGGAGAGAAGCCGGCUGCCCCUGGGGUCAUUCCACUCCCUAC